CAAUUGCGUAUCUCAGUUGCAAGUCUGGGUAGCGAACUCUACUUAAUCAAGACUCUACAAUCUUGGGGCAGUAUCAAAGAAGAGGCUAUUUUAUAUUCUCCCUGUAUUCCGUUCAGAAGAUGUUCUAGGGUCGGGUGAAGAGCCUAUGAAAUGGCAUCUGCUGUGGACCUGUUGUGCCUCUAGGAAAAUUGGAGUGGAUCCAAGUCACUUCUCAGGCAGGAGUUAAUAUGCUUCAUCACCAACCUCUUAAAACACCUCACCACUGUGGAUGCCCACACAAUUCUGAAGAUUGCUGAUGGACCACUUUAGCUUUUUCUGAAGUCACCACAGCAAGAUGGAAAGAGGUGUCCUUGUCUGUCUCUACCACUGGUAUUGGACUAAGCCAGCUUCCGGUUUAAGAUGAAAAGGCAAGGUGUCGGGACUGGAGAGGGGAAAGCGAAUCUGUAAAUCUGGCGAGAGCAAAGGAUGUUGGGAAUGUCGAGGGUGAAGCACGGUGAAAGGGGUGUCGGACAGGUGGCAGUGAAGGAGUGCUGGAGCGGAGGGCAGGGCACGUGUGCAGACGCACCCUGCUUUGAGACUCCAAACAAGAUUCUUAUCUACUUGACUCUCUUUGGAUGAGAUGAUAAGUGGGUGUUUGGUGAGCUCCAGCUGGAGAAAGUGAAAUGGGCAGCAAGCCUGGACAGUGGAAAUACGACAGACUGCAUCAUGGACUGGUCCUGCAAUUUGCAGCUGCAGAGAGGAAUGUACUCAGGCCAAUACAUAGUGGUCACACUCCUCUCCACUCUUGGCAGUGUCUCCAUCAUAUACUGCCUCAAGAAGCAUCAAAGAUCAGUCAUCAAAGGUCCCCACCAUCCAGGACAUGCUGUCAUCUUGUAGCUUCAUUUGGGAGUUGGUACAGAAUCCCAAAGUCCCACACCACCAGGUUCAAGAUCAGUUACUUCUCUUCAACCAUUUGGUUCUUGAACCAAUUUGCAAAACCCUGAUCACUACCUUAGCCGACCAACACUAUGACUUUGCCCUAUAAUAAACUUAGAUUAUUUUGUUCUAAUUUUAUUCUGUCUUGCAUAAUUUUGUAUAAUCUAUGUUUAAUUAAGUUUUUUUCUUGUGUUGUGUGCCUGUGAAGCUGCUGCAAGAAGUUUUCCAUUGCACUUGU